rnacentral:tRNA from 1 species
GGGGAUAUAGCUCAGUUGGUAGAGUGCUUGCCUUGCAUGCAUGAGGCCUUGGGUUCAAUCCUCAGCACCA